UCUCAUCUAAUCGCCAUCCCAUCCCACCAAUUCCACCCCCACUCCGCCCCCACGCGCGAUGACUCCGCCUCCCGCGCGUGAUUCCCCUCACUCCUCGCUCCGUGCGCAUUCUCUGUCCUCCUCGCUUCGCCCGAAUCCCGGCUGUCGCCACAGUCCACAGCUGGACCAGCGCCGCCGCUGCCGUGUCUUCACUGCCGCUGGACCAGCGCACUCACUGUCGUGCCUCCUCGCGACUCCCCGCCACACGCCACCACAUCGUGCCCCUGCCGCUGCCGUGGUAGUUCCCCAUUCUUCCGGAGCCCCGUCCAGGACUGCCUCUGCCGGCACCGUGGUGGUUCCCCUUUCCGUCAGAGCCCCGCCCGGGACUGCUCCCGACGUUGCCGGUUGUUCUCCCUUCUGCCGGAGGUGCUGUGCACGCCACGCUGGUAUGCAACUCUCCUCCCCGAAGGUGCCGAAUUUGUCCAACGUUUCGUUCGACCUACGCCGAGUUCGACCAUCCAGCUUCCUUGCGCCUUCUUCUCUUCUGUGCCAGCACACCUGAUUCGGCUCAAAUUGGCUGAGAUGGCAACGUGGUUCCGAUGGUCUUCACCUCUUUGCGUACGAUGGAGUGCCGGCUGAGGACAAGUUCAACGGCGGUUCCAGUGAUGGCGACGACUUGCCCCCUGCUCCAACAAUGGGAAUAUCAGUCGUAGGUUUUCAUCGGUGGCGUGUGCGGAAGAAGGAACACUGAGAGGGAGUAGCAGGAUAUGUUCGCAUACCGGCCACGUAGUGUGGUAUGGUAGGCUUAAAGCUAACGGCCGAGCGGUUGUCCAAGGACGAUCCACAUGCUUCUUCCUUUGAACUGACCGUUGGAAUGCCAGGAAUCUUAACGGCGACAUUGAGGAUGCGCUUGUCGCAUUAGUAAUCGUAACCUUCCUCUCAAAUUUCACCGCAUAUUUGUUGCAUGCAGAAAAGCACAAACCUCAGUGAUCAAAGCUAACUUGACCCUUACUGGAACGAGGAACUCAAAGCUCUCUGUUCCUCAACAGUAUGGUCGUCGCAUGUUGGUAAUAAACUCACAGGAUGUAAAAUCAUCAAAAAUUUGUAAUGUGUUUCUGUUGCGUUUGUCCAAAUCUUACUUUCUUUGCAUCCAGCAAGUGUUCGAUGGGUGACAAUUUUCGUAGCUAGAAACGACAACAGUUGAUGACUGCCAAUGCUUUACCCACUUUAGGUUAGUGACUUAAUUCUUAAGUUGUUUCGAAAUAAUUUUAACAGCACAUGUUCUUUAUUAAUCAUGUACCAACUUCAUGAAAUCGACUUGUCUAAAUAUAUGGAUGAUUCAACCCACACAACAAAUCAAUGUGAUUUGGAAUUUAAUUAUUUGGUUAGUAUUCACUAUUCAGGUGUAUGCACUAGGUCUCAUGUUAUAUAUAGGUCUAAUGAUAUUCAUUGGUACAGGUCGUAUUCCAAAAAAGUAAGAAGAUUGUUGUUAAAGUUAGAAUGUUGCUGCAGUUAGAUGAUAUUGCCUUCAACUUUCUGAAGUUAAUGAUGUCCCCAUGAAUUGGUUUAUUCAGCCCACUACACAAAUCAAUGCAAUUUGGAAUUUAAUUAUUUGGUUAAUAUUCAGUAAAUGCAUUAAGUGUCAUGUUAUACAUAGGUCUAAUGAUAUCCAUUGUUUCGUGAUGCUGUACAGGCGUACUCCAAAAAAGUAACAUUUGGUGUUGAAGAAUGUGGUUGCCGUUAUGUUGCUUGAGUGUUUUGAAGUUGGAUAAUUAAGCUCCUAAAUGUUUUUUACACUAUUGUCUUUAUUAUACUGAAUUAAAAACUUAAAAUGUUCUUGAAUAGGACAUGCACGGAUUGGGGAUUUCUAUUCAUGGAGUAACAAUAUCUUUAUUGUACUUUUGUGUGGGCACAGGGGAGUGUGGAGUUGCUGUCGUGGCAUUCUUCAAAUCCAAGUUAGUAUUACAUAUGGAUUUUACCUAUUCUUCAUACGUCAUGCCUGUAAAUUUGUCAGGAAAUUUUAUUGAAGAGCUUCCCUGUGCAGAGCUUAUUGGUUCUGGUGUUUGAGGGAUGGUUCUUUUGCUCUUUUAGAUGUAUGUUGUCUUCGCUGCUACAGGCUAAAAUUUCUCUUCCAGAUGUAGUGAUAAAGAAAUAGCAAUUUAAUUACUAUGUUUUUUUGUCACUUGGUUUUGAUGCCAUCUAUGACCAUAUAUCUCUCUUCCUCCAGCCCUCCAUGGAAUCAAACUCCUCACCUGCUAGCCACAGCUCAAAAGCUGGUGCGUUGGUUUUCUCCCAUGUAGAAAAUACAGAAUUUUCUUAUUACAUUUCAUUGUUUGUUGACGACCGACAUUUCCAUUGUUGCCGAGAACAACAUCUACGGUUUGCAUGUGUACUCGCAAUUCCUCCUUGAAAAUGUCUUGAUCAGAAGUCCGGUGUGCAUACUUUCUUGUGGUAUACUGGUCUUAGGAAUUUGAUUAGAGUUUUGGUGUAUGAAAGUAAAAGUGACAUGAAGGUUUAUGCAUGAAUAUAUAAUUUGGUCAUCUUAAUUUGUUUUCA